CUUGUCUCUCGCCUGUCCUGUGAGGAUGAAGAUGUAGUUUCAGUGUUUAAUGCUCAUCCCCUCAGUGUGUGUCUGUAUGUUCUUGUCUCUUGACAGGUCUGUGAGGAUGAGAAGGUCUCCACAGUCUGGAGUCUGGUCUCUGACAGGCUCAACAUACCUGUCAAUCAACAGGGACUCCUCUACAAAGGCAAGGCGCUGGCAGGUAGGCUGAACAGCACAGCACAGCACAGCUCACCCCUCCUCUCACCCCUCGCCUCACCCCUCCUCUCACUCCUCGCCUCACCCCGGGUCAGUGUGGCACAGCCUGCCUGCUCUUCUGAACAAACACUUCAGCCCUGCCGACGCAAUGAGAGUCUGGAGCAGCAACACGAGGUCUGUGAGGAUGAGAAGGUCUCCACAGUCUGGAGUCUGGUCUCUGACAGGCUCAACAUACCUGUCAAUCAACAGGGACUCCUCUACAAAGGCAAGGCGCUGGCAGAUGAGCACAGACUGUCACACGACUCCAUCGCUCCCGAUUCCAAGCUGAACUCGUUGUGACGCCCCCAACAGAGGAAGUGUCACCCUCGCAAGAACAGCACUCCCUGUGUCACCCCUCCUCUCAGACCUCACCCCUCACCCUCGCCUCACCCCUCCUGUCACACCUCACCCCUCGCCACACCCCUCCUCUCACACCUCACCCCUCCUCUCACCCAUCGCCUCAACCCUCCUGUCACCCCUCGCCCCUCCUCUCACCCCUCGCCUAACCCCUCCUCUCACGCCUCGCCUCACCCCGGGUCAGUGUGGCACAGCCUGCCUGCUCUUCUGAACAAACACUUCAGCCCUGCCGACGCAGUGAGAGUCUGGAGCAGCAACACAAGGAUUACGAGCGGAGGCUGCGCUUGUUGAGCCUGGAUGAUAUGGAGCGGCUGGCGACUCGCAUGCUUCACCCUGAGGCUGUGGAGUGCAUGGAGCUGUCCUUCCUGGACUGAGGAAUACUGCUGCUGCCCUCUCCACCUCUCCCUUCUCUUCUCCCCUCUCCCCUCUCUCCUCUCCUCUUUACUCUCUCCUCCCCCUCUCCUCUCCUCUCCUUACUUUGUUUAAAAGAAUAGAAGCACACCCAGUGAGCAAGGCAUUGAGCAGCCCCACAUCCCGCUUCACAAUACCGCUACAUAUUGACUGACUGUUUGCAUUGUGUGUGUUUGGUGAGACAAACCACAUUUUCUACUUUCUGCUAUUUUAAAAGGAGCCCAGUUUGGUGCAGGAGGCUUGUGGGUAACAGAGUGUGUUUUUGCUGGGGACUGCAGCCCUUCCAUUACCAUUGCUCGUAGAGGGGAGAUUGUUUUACUUUCAAGCCUUUUUCUUUAAUAAAUCCGGACGUUUGGAAAUACA